UACAGAGGGUGCGAGCGUUAAUCGGAAUUACUGGGCGUAAAGGGCUCGUAGGCGGCCAACUAAGUCAGACGUGAAAUCCCCAGGCUCAACCUGGGAACUGCGUCUGAUACUGGAUGGCUUGAAUUCGGGAGAGGGAUGCAGAAUUCCAGGUGUAGCGGUGAAAUGCGUAGAUAUCGGGAGGAACACCAGUGGCGAAGGCGGCUACCUGGACCAGCACUGACACUCAGACACGAAAGCGUGGGGAGCAAACAGG
rnacentral:rRNA from 1 species